AGAAAAGAUGUUCAUUCUUAGGGUUUCCUGACUGAUCCAUCUGUGGCGUGCAGCGCCACCGCCGCCGACGAUCGCCUCCGCUCCCCCGUUCUCUCUGGGCUCUCUUUUGCGGUCAUCGACGUCGGCGACCCGUCCACGCGCGCGCUCUUCGUCAUCGACUCCGGCAGCGACCUCCCCUCACCCGUCGCCGCCGAUUCGAUCCUCGGCACCAGUCGCCGACGCCCAACAGACGAUUUGAUCCUGCCUCACCCCUCCCCGCCUGCAUGGCAGAGUCGAGCUCGCAAGGUUCUAGGAUAAGUGCAGGCAGUCGUGGUGGCCGUGGCUUUCUGAGGUCGCGACCACCGGUGCCCUACAGAGAAGGGCCUCUAUCUUAUAAGCCCGCCGUGGUGUGUAUGUGCAACAGAAAGGCACCACGGUGGAUUUCAUGGAGUGAUGAUAAUCCUGGUCAGAGACUGAAGGGGACUGCGGCUUCUAUGUGUGGUUUGAUCCUGAGCAAUCAACUUUUUUGAAGAAUUUACUUUUCGAUCUCCGUAAUGUUGUUUGGGAAUUGAGGAGCAAAGUCGAGGAUAUUGCUGAGCUGAAGCAAAUCAAUGAAAUGGUGUCUAGUGAGAAUAAAGAGAAGGAUUUAGUCCUAAAGGCACAAGAGAGGGGCCUGGAGGAGAAGAAUAAGCAACUGGAGGAGAAGAAUAAGCAAUUGGUACUACUGGCUAACAAGAUCACUGAGGGGAGUAGGUGUAGUUUAUUCUGUUGUGGCUUUGUAAUGUUGCUUGUUGGCCUGUUCGUUGGAAUGAUGUUAGGUGCUAUUUGAUGUAUCCAUGUUCGGGAAGAUGGUUUUGAAUGUCCUGAUAGAAAUAAGUUAAAUAUUGAUGUAUGGCACAUGUUUAUGUACAAAGUUUGGAGAACUAGUGCCUAAGCGGGGGGUUCAGGCUGUUUUUCAGACUUGGACGAUUUUCAGGUUAAGCCUGAAUACAUGGAUUUUGACCA